rnacentral:rRNA from 1 species
GAUGAACGCUAGCUACAGGCUUAACACAUGCAAGUCGAGGGGCAGCAUUAUCGAAGCUUGCUUUGAUAGAUGGCGACCGGCGCACGGGUGAGUAACGCGUAUCCAACCUUCCCCAUAGUCAGGAAUAGCCCGGCGAAAGUCGAAUUAAUGCCUGAUGUUUUCCACGGACGGCAUCUGAUGUGGAACAAAGAUUCAUCGCUAUGGGAUGGGGAUGCGUCUGAUUAGCUUGUUGGCGGGGUAACGGCCCACCAAGGCAACGAUCAGUAGGGGUUCUGAGAGGAAGGUCCCCCCACAUUGGAACUGAGACACGGUCCAAACUCCUACGGGAGGCAGCAGUGAGGAAUAUUGGUCAAUGGGCGAGAGCCUGAACCAGCCAAGUAGCGUGCAGGAUGACGGCCCUAUGGGUUGUAAACUGCUUUUAUAAGGGAAUAAGUGAGCCUCGUGAGGCUUUUUGCAUGUACCUUAUGAAU